GCAGUUUAAUUUCACUUCUUUCUACAAUGUGUGAUGAAGGUGGACUUAACUUUUAAAGGCAAAGAGACAAACCACUGCCAGGAUAAAUGAAAAGACGCAGAGGGGGCAGCUGGCACCACACAGGCAAGGAAAUGCUUUCUGGCUGUUUCCUAAUUUUCAUAUCCGGGUCAUCUUCAGAAAUCAUUUUCAGAGGGUUAGCAGCCAUGACCAUCAUGGUGGAGAAUGUGGCAGCAGGCAAUCAGGCAUCACACUGGAAUAGUAGGGAUUUCUCUGUAGCCUAAGCUGGUCUAGAAAUCACUUUGUACAUCCUCCUGAUUCGGUGUGAUUACACAUAAGAGAAGUUGCAAUGAGGUAAGUAGAAUGAGAAGGCUGUCCUAAGGAAGAUGACACUGAGGUCGUCAUGAAGUGAUGCAUGAGAUUUAGAAAAGUACUCUUACUUAGAAGAUGAAUCAAGUUGGUAUUACCAACAAGAACAACUGUUCCCCUUCUACUAAUGGCUAAACAAGACUUUAGCAAUGCAUAUUAUAAGUCUACAGUAUGAAGAAGUGGCAAUGUUUGUAGGGAAAUAUCUCUGUCUCUAUUUUCUUCUUAUUAAAGAUUAAGAAAGUUGUUGUUUAGAUGAAUUCGGAAAGAAUUUUUGUUGAUUUUUAUUGAGCUCUAUAUUUUUCUCUGUUCCCUUCUCUGCCUCUCUCCUCCCCUUCAACCCUCUGAAAGAUUUCCCCAAUAUUUUCUUUGGCAGAACAGAACAGCCCUAGACAAAGGGUGAGAGCUACGUCUCCAUUGGUACAGAUGGUCCUAAUUAGCUAAAUUAUGUCUUUAACUAGGCAAAUGAACUAGAGGGAACUUGAAAAUUUUGUAUUGAAGCUUUAAGUGUAAUUUCAUAAUGUUGACAACAGGCUGUAUUGCAGUAGUUUUCUGCCUUGAACAUUCUUUUUCAUUAAAUCAACUGUCAUCUCUUAUCAAGUCUGUAAAUUGGUCAACAUGCCCUGAAAUAGCAAUCUGAAUAAUCACCAUAAAAGGAGGAACCUCUCUGUAACCCCAUCAUUAAUUCUAUUAUAGUUUUUUGUAACUUUGUCUUUGUCUAUACUCAUUGGUACUUUUAUAUCACAGGGAGAUUUUAUUUCUAUUUGGCAGGUUCAAGUAGAUACAUAGUCUUCUUUAAAUAAAGUCUCACUGCAAUGGGUCAUAUAUCCUGA